AGCGGCAAGAGCUCAAAUUUGAAAGCUGGCUCCUUCGGAGUCCGCAUUGUAAUUUGCAGAGGAUGCUUUGGGUGCGGCCCCCGUCUAAGUGCCCUGGAACGGGCCGUCAGAGAGGGUGAGAAUCCCGUCUUGGGCGGGGUGUCCGUGCCCGUGUAAAGCUCCUUCGACGAGUCGAGUUGUUUGGGAAUGCAGCUCUAAAUGGGUGGUAAAUUUCAUCUAAAGCUAAAUACUGGCCGGAGACCGAUAGCGCACAAGUAGAGUGAUCGAAAGAUGAAAAGCACUUUGAAAAGAGAGUUAAACAGCACGUGAAAUUGUUGAAAGGGAAGCGCUUGCGACCAGACUCGCCCGCGGGGUUCAGCCGGCAUUCGUGCCGGUGUACUUCCCCGUGGGCGGGCCAGCGUCGGUUUGGGCGGCCGGUCAAAGGCCCCUGGAAUGUAGUGCCCUCCGGGGCACCUUAUAGCCAGGGGUGCAAUGCGGCCAGCCUGGACCGAGGAACGCGCUUCGGCACGGACGCUGGCAUAAUGGUCGUAAACGACCCGUCUUGAAACACGGACCAAGGAGUCUAACAUCUACGCGAGUGUUCGGGUGUCAAACCCGUGCGCGCAGUGAAAGCGAACGGAGGUGGGAGCCCCCUUGCGGGGGCGCACCAUCGACCGAUCCUGAUGUCUUCGGAUGGAUUUGAGUAAGAGCGUAGCUGUGGGGACCCGAAAGAUGGUGAACUAUGCCUGAAUAGGGCGAAGCCAGAGGAAACUCUGGUGGAGGCUCGCAGCGGUUCUGACGUGCAAAUCGAUCGUCAAAUUUGGGUAUAGGGGCGAAAGACUAAUCGAACCAUCUAGUAGCUGGUUCCUGCCGAAGUUUCCCUCAGGAUAGCAGUAACGCAAAAUCAGUUUUAUGAGGUAAAGCGAAUGAUUAGAGGCAUUGGGGUUGAAACAACCUUAACCUAUUCUCAAACUUUAAAUAUGUAAGAAGCCCUUGUUGCUUAGUUGAACGUGGGCAUUAGAAUGGAGCGUUACUAGUGGGCCAUUUUUGGUAAGCAGAACUGGCGAUGCGGGAUGAACCGAACGCGAGGUUAAGGUGCCGGAAUGCACGCUCAUCAGACACCACAAAAGGUGUUAGUUCAUCUAGACAGCCCGACGGUGGCCAUGGAAGUCGGAAUCCGCUAAGGAGUG
rnacentral:rRNA from 1 species